rnacentral:rRNA from 1 species
GAUGAACGCUGGCGGCGUGCCUAAUACAUGCAAGUCGAGCGAACGGACGAGAAGCUUGCUUCUCUGAUGUUAGCGGCGGACGGGUGAGUAACACGUGGAUAACCUACCUAUAAGACUGGGAUAACUUCGGGAAACCGGAGCUAAUACCGGAUAAUAUUUCGAACCGCAUGGUUCAAAAGUGAAAGACGGUCUUGCUGUCACUUAUAGAUGGAUCCGCGCUGCAUUAGCUAGUUGGUAAGGUAACGGCUUACCAAGGCAACGAUGCAUAGCCGACCUGAGAGGGUGAUCGGCCACACUGGAACUGAGACACGGUCCAGACUCCUACGGGAGGCAGCAGUAGGGAAUCUUCCGCAAUGGGCGAAAGCCUGACGGAGCAACGCCGCGUGAGUGAUGAAGGUCUUCGGAUCGUAAAACUCUGUUAUUAGGGAAGAACAUAUGUGUAAGUAACUGUGCACAUCUUGACGGUACCUAAUCAGAAAGCCACGGCUAACUACGUGCCAGCAGCCGCGGUAAUACGUAGGUGGCAAGCGUUAUCCGGAAUUAUUGGGCGUAAAGCGCGCGUAGGCGGUUUUUUAAGUCUGAUGUGAAAGCCCACGGCUCAACCGUGGAGGGUCAUUGGAAACUGGAAAACUUGAGUGCAGAAGAGGAAAGUGGAAUUCCAUGUGUAGCGGUGAAAUGCGCAGAGAUAUGGAGGAACACCAGUGGCGAAGGCGACUUUCUGGUCUGUAACUGACGCUGAUGUGCGAAAGCGUGGGGAUCAAACAGGAUUAGAUACCCUGGUAGUCCACGCCGUAAACGAUGAGUGCUAAGUGUUAGGGGGUUUCCGCCCCUUAGUGCUGCAGCUAACGCAUUAAGCACUCCGCCUGGGGAGUACGACCGCAAGGUUGAAACUCAAAGGAAUUGACGGGGACCCGCACAAGCGGUGGAGCAUGUGGUUUAAUUCGAAGCAACGCGAAGAACCUUACCAAAUCUUGACAUCCUUUGACAACUCUAGAGAUAGAGCCUUCCUCUUCGGGGGACAAAGUGACAGGUGGUGCAUGGUUGUCGUCAGCUCGUGUCGUGAGAUGUUGGGUUAAGUCCCGCAACGAGCGCAACCCAUAAGCUUAGUUGCCAUCAUUAAGUUGGGCACUCUAAGUUGACUGCCGGUGACAAACCGGAGGAAGGUGGGGAUGACGUCAAAUCAUCAUGCCCCUUAUGAUUUGGGCUACACACGUGCUACAAUGGACAAUACAAAGGGCAGCGAAACCGCGAGGUCAAGCAAAUCCCAUAAAGUUGUUCUCAGUUCGGAUUGUAGUCUGCAACUCGACUACAUGAAGCUGGAAUCGCUAGUAAUCGUAGAUCAGCAUGCUACGGUGAAUACGUUCCCGGGUCU